UACGGGAGGCAGCAGUGGGGAAUAUUGCACAAUGGGCGCAAGCCUGAUGCAGCCAUGCCGCGUGUAUGAAAAAGGCCUUCGGGUUGUAAAGUACUUUCAGUCGUGAGGAAGGUGUUAAGGUUAAUAACCUUAGCAAUUGACGUUAGCGACAGAAGAAGCACCGGCUAACUCCGUGCCAGCAGCCGCGGUAAUACGGAGGGUGCGAGCGUUAAUCGGAAUUACUGGGCGUAAAGGGCACGCAGGCGGUUAAUUAAGUCAGAUGUGAAAUCCCUGGGCUUAACCUAGGAACUGCAUUUUGAAACUGAAAUACUAGAGUAUCGUAGAGGGAGGUAGAAUUCUAGGUGUAGCGGUGAAAUGCGUAGAUAUCUGGAGGAAUACCUGUGGCGAAAGCGGCCUCCUAAACGGAUACUGACACUGAGGUGCGAAAGCGUGGGGA
rnacentral:rRNA from 1 species